rnacentral:rRNA from 1 species
UGAGGAACAUGACCUUCGGCGGGGGAUAGCCGGCCCAACGGCCGGGCAAUACCGCGUACGACCACAUGGGGACAUCCCUGAGUGGUGAAAGCAGCAAUGCGCCGAUGGAGUGCCUCGCGGCCUAUCAGCUAGUUGGUGAGGUAACGGCUCACCAAGGCGACGACGGGUAGCUGGUCUGAGAGGAUGGCCAGCCACAUUGGGACUGAGACACGGCCCAGAUCCGUACGGG